rnacentral:lncRNA from 1 species
UGAUAUGUCUGUGUGUUUGCAGUGAUGUGUGGCACUCCGCCUGCCGUCGAUAACGCGUCUCUAGUGGGCCGCAGACGCUCACACUACGACAUCCAUGCAGUGGUUCGGUACCAGUGCGCCGACGGCUUCUUCCAGGGACACAUCCCGACUGUCCGCUGCCGACCCACCGGGACCUGGGAAAGACCCAAGAUCAUCUGCACUAAAUCACCGCGAUCUCACCGUUACCGUCGGCAACACCACAGAUCUCGGCGCGAGCAUCGACGACACCGGAGACACGGAUCGGGGCACAGGGGGCGGGAUUAAGCUACGGGGGGCGGGGCUAAAAGCAGGGGUCGUGACCUCUGUUCCUGUGUUUCCAUGUCAGAGGAAACGCAGCAGACGGAAAGGACAGAAAUAAUCGUUCUUUUUUACCGCUGUUAUUUAGGUUUCACUAACCCUCCGUUCACUUCUUCAUUAGAUAAUGUUUUUUAUUGGUUAUUUCACGCAGAUGGAUGGUGACUCUUCAUCUUCAUAGAAUAGUUGUAUUAAUUUGUUCACGCAGCAGGUGAAGGCUCUGGUUGCUCAUGCUCAUGUUUGUUCGGCUUUAGAUAUUUUGGAUGUAAUGCUUUAAUGAAAUACUAAAUAAACUGCCCAAAAUGAUUCAUAUUCAUGAAAUAAGACGCUCUUCAAGCCUUCGAAUGGCACAAUAAUGAAUUCGUUUUUACCCAUGAGGCUUUACUUUGUCUUGGUUUUGAGUGUUUGCUGAUGAUUUGGUUUGAUUGCAACUCUUUAACUCUAAAUGUCGGACUAGAAUCGUAGUGAAACCCCUUACGUUCAUAAAUGAGUGAAUUUCAUGAAGAAAAGCAACUUUCAGCUCACAUUUCAGACCAAAAUGAAAAGAAAAAAAACAUGCGAAAUUAUAUUUUUCAUAAAGGAAAUGAAGCCUGUUUUUAAAAUCAUUGAAUUUUUUUUUUUGCAUUAUGAUUAUUAAAUCGCAUUUACUCUCAAAUUAAAUAUCCAAACAUUAAUACAAUCCCG